rnacentral:misc_RNA from 1 species
AAGGAUCAUUAUCGAAUGAACGUGGGGGUCUGGUUGUAGCUGGCCUGCAAAGGCAUGUGCACGCCGCCUCUUUCAUCCACACACACCCCUGUGCACCCGUGAGACGGAGGCUUAUUUUCUUCCCUUUUGUUUGGGGAGAGAUCGGUUUCCGUCUGCCGUUAUACAAAUUCAAUUGAUUUAAUUCGAAUGUAAUCGACGCAACGCGUCUAAUAAAUAUACAAAGUUUCAACAACGGAUCUCUUGGCUCUC